UACGUAGGGGGCAAGCGUUGUUCGGAAUUACUGGGCGUAAAGGGCGCGUAGGCGGCACGGCAAGUCGGGAGUGAAAGCCCGGGGCUCAACCCCGGAGGGUCUUCCGAAACUGCCGAGCUAGAGUGCGGAAGAGGCAAUCGGAAUUCCCAGUGUAGCGGUGAAAUGCGCAGAUAUCAGGAGGAACACCAAUAGCGAAGGCAGCUUGCUGGGACGGUACUGACGCUAAGGCGCGAAAGCGUGGGGAGCGAACAGG
rnacentral:rRNA from 1 species